GCAUCUGGGGCAGGUGUUGUCCCAGCAGACUCUGAGUUCAUUUGCUGACACCUCAUCCCCAGUGUGAUUGCACUUGGAGGUACAGCCUUGGGAAGUGAGUACCAGAGAGCUGCCUUGCCCCUUCUACCGUGCGUGCACACAGAGAGAAGAUGGCCCUUCAUGAAGAAUCAGGCUCUCAAUAGACACUGAACCUGCCGACACCUUGACCUUGGACUUCCAGCCUCCAGAACCGCUCAGCGGCACUUUCUGCCUUUGCAUAAAAGCCAGCACAAUCCUGCCCGAGGUGGUCCACGCCCUGGUGGCUGCGCUAAGUGCUCCCCACACACCGUGUUCAGUCCUUACAGCUGACCUGAGCCCCAGAUGCCUCCUUGUGUGACACCAUCAAGUCCACCAUAAACCAAUGGAUGGAAUAACUCUCAGCAACUUGUCCCUUUCCUCCCCUGCUCCCCUUGGGGAUUUCUCAGCCAAGCAUCAAUGAAUCUUGAAUCUCAGCUGAUGACACUCCUGGGCAAAAUGGCUAUGAAACUGGAAAGAUGUCUAUGAAACACACAGUCCCUCAAGCCAGAAAAUGCACUUGACACAUCUGUGUCCCUUGAGGAACCUGAAGUUUUGGUGAAUCCAGAAAGCCAUGGAUGGCAGAACUGACCACAGAAAAAGAAACAGAGGCUCAGAAAGGUGAAGCCAAUUGCCUGAAGCCACACAGAAUAUCAGCUGGAGUCAGGAUUCUAACACCAUCCCAUGUAGCUGAUGCUAUCUACUGCCAGCCUGGAGCCAGGCUAAGAGGAAGAGAAAGAAGAAAAUGCCUGCAGAAACAUUCUAUGUAAAGAACACUUUGGGAUCAGAAAAAGAAGCGCGCCCGUGUUUCACUUGCAGCCUCACCCUGCACUAGGUAACCCUCCUUCCUCCACUGCACAAUCACUUAGAAACUGUAACUCUUCUUGGGCCCAGGUGCACAGGUAAAUUCGGAUCUUUCCCAAGGGAUCUCUGGGGCCUCGGGUCACAGCAGACCAGAACUUGACCUGGAGGCUGGUGUCCCCCAAACUGCUGUAUGGACCCUGCAACAGCUGGGGAGUCCUCGUCUCAACAGCCCUGCUGUCUCCCACUGAGGUCAUCUGCUGGCCCUCCUGGUGGCCCUGUGAGGAAGCCAGGAGUCACUGAUGCUGCUCUAUCGACGGCGACAGAUGGAUCACAGCUGAUAAGUGACUUGCCCAGAGUUUUGCAGCUUGGAACUCACAGAGCAGAAGCUGGGAAUCAGGUGGGGAAGCACCCAGCUCUCUGCUUCUCCUAAGCCAAGCUCUGCAGCGAGGUCCUGCUUCCCUCGGGACUCCUCUUUCAGCAUGACAUGAACUCAUUUUGAAUGUAAAGGCAAUGUCAAAGCCCUACAGCUAUUUAUACCAGAGCAUGUGUUUAUUAGCUCACUCUCCAGGGGGAAUAUUGCUGUUGUGAAUACACAACUACUCAUAACUACCGUCUUAAAAAUCUUCUCUACCCCAAAAUAUUUACUAAUGUAUUUAAGUAUUUAUUUUCUUGUAGUGAAAGGAAAUCAAGAUAAUUCUAAAAUUGUGGAAGAAAACAAAAAAAGUAUAAAGGAGAAAACAGAAGCUUCACAUAUUCUAACCAUUAUUAAUCUCAAAAUAUUUUAUUCCAGGUCCUUGUCUAUGGUCCAGGUCCUUGUCUAUGGUCCUAUAGCCUAUGCUGAGUGACACUGUGCUAUGUGUAUGCCAUUUGCACUCACCGUGGGGUCAUAAGCGUGCCAUUUCCUUUUUAUUAAAAAAAUACUUUGCAUACAUGAAAGUAUGUUUGCAUUAAAACUAUGCAAACAUCAGUUUUAAUAACUGUAUAAAUAUUCCAUCACAAGGACAUUCCAUAAUUUAUUUAAUCACUUUGGUAGUGUUGGACAUUUAAUUUUUUAAAAAGUCAAAUAAUGCCAGGAUUAAUGCCUGUUUAUAUGAACCAGUUUUCAUUUCCUGAUUAUUUUCUUCGGCCAGAUCCCCAAAAGUGGAAUUACUGAUAAAAGUAGGUGAGUGUUUUUAACACAUUUCUUCUUAUACACACACACACACACACACACACACACACACACCCAUCAACAAAUAGUUUUUCCUGGAAGGAACUUCCAGUAGUGUAUGAGAAAGCCUAUUGCACCACACCAUCCCCAGCAAUGAGAAUUACUACUGUAAAAAAAUCUUUGUUACAUUAAAUUUUUGGAGGACAUCUCAUUUUCUUGAUUGCAUUUGAUUAACUCAAAAUGUAUUUCUACAGGGUGGGGAACAUCACACACUGGGGCCUGUCGUGGGGUGGGGGGAUGGGGGAGGGAUAGCAUUAGGAGAAAUACCUAAUGUAAAUGACGAGUUAAUGGGUGCAGCAAAC
rnacentral:lncRNA from 10 species